AUUGAACGCUAGCGGCAUGCCUUACACAUGCAAGUCGAACGGCAGCACGAACUUCGGUUUGGUGGCGAGUGGCGAACGGGUGAGUAAAGCGUCGGAACGUGCCUAGUAGUGGGGGAUAACUAUUCGAAAGAGUAGCUAAUACCGCAUACGAUCUAAGGAUGAAAGUGGGGGAUCUUCGGACCUCAUGCUAUUAGAGCGGCCGAUGUCAGAUUAGCUAGUUGGUGAGGUAAAAGCUCACCAAGGCGACGAUCUGUAGCUGGUCUGAGAGGACGACCAGCCACACUGGGACUGAGACACGGCCCAGACUCCUACGGGAGGCAGCAGUGGGGAAUGUUGGACAAUGGGCGAAAGCCUGAUCCAGCAAUGCCGCGUGUGUGAAGAAGGCCUUCGGGUUGUAAAGCACUUUUGUUCGGGAAGAAAAGGUUUGUGUUAAUACCAUAAGCUGAUGACGGUACCGAAAGAAUAAGCACCGGCUAACUACGUGCCAGCCGCCGCGGUAA
rnacentral:rRNA from 1 species